CAGUUAGGAGGAACAGACAGUUAAAGUCAGUUGAGGACUGUUGGUUUGAGAUAGAAGGCUGGAUGUCGGCUUGUGGAGUUAAGGUUUCUGAACAAUGUGGAUUUAGCAGGUGUGAAGCCAGAACCUGUUUGGGGAAUAAGCACAACAGACCUCAGGUGGGAGGCUGUCUAGUAAUUCAGAAAUAAGCAAGGUGCCUGAACCACAGUCAGGAGGCUUUUCACACAGCAGGCUUCACCGCAGGUUUACUGCGAGGCUUUACUGCAAGUUCGGGAUAUAAGGCAUACUGCACCACAAAAAGAGGAUAUUUUAAAAACCCCAGACAUAAAUCAGGCUACGUUCCAAGACAGAGGGGGAAACCCGAAUCUUGUGUGAAGUGCUCUCUGAAAUACCGCACAGACUUGGGGGUAAAUCUGGCUGAUAUGUGAACGCACACUCACCCUCCCAAAAGUAAAGUUGCUGUAAGGUUGCUCUCUGAAAAAGCUCCUGGAGAAGAGAAUCUUUCAGCAUCUUUGUAAUCUGUGUCAACUUUGGGUAACUGCUACACUUUUGUACCUUUUGAAUUUGAGACCAUUCUGCUUCAGUACUACUUGUACUUGUAACCACCACACUAAUUGGACCAUCUAGUGAACAAUACAAACCUGUUAUCUGUUUUAACAUCUUUGGUUGUUUCCUCUUCCACUCCAUUAAAAGAGAGGCCGUUCUCCAUGCUCCUAUAGAACAAAGGGGCGGGGUAUGUGUGUGUGUGUGAGAAGGGACUUAAAUCCCGUCAUAUAGAUCUGAGUGGCCGGAGCAAAAAGGCACCCUGGAGUAGGGUGGACCCUCACAAUAACAAAGGAAGAACGAAAGGGCCAGCUCUUCUUGCAAUUCAUCUUUCAGAAGCUCACAUUCUCUUAGUGGCAACCCAGUUACAACAGGAAGGGUCUGAAGAAACAGCUGAACCACCAAGUCCUCCAGAGUUUGGGAAUAUCUAGAAUACAGCUUCUAAUACAAAUAAUUUGAGAGACAGCUUGUGGUAAUACAUACACAGUCCUUCUCCUUC